AAAGUCGUAACAAGGUUUCCGUAGGUGAACCUGCGGAAGGAUCAUUAACACGUAUCCACGUAUCAACCCCUCUGUGCAACUACUACCGUUAAUGGUUGGUCUUAGUCCUUCUUGGUUCGUAUGGAUCUCAAUGAUGGAGGGGUGUGUGUGUGACAAAACUUGUUUUGUUUCGCUACCCCCUGAGGUCUGAACUGUUGGGCGUUUGACGAUCAGCCGAUAUUUUCCCAUCGUUAGCCAACCUCUAUUUUUAACCCCUUUGUACUUAUCUGUACUGAACCAAUUCCUUCGAGUUCUCUUUCUUUACUGAGAGAUGAGCACGAAAGAUAUUACGAAACUAAAGAACAACUCUUAGCAACGGAUAUCUUGGUUCCC
rnacentral:misc_RNA from 1 species